rnacentral:rRNA from 1 species
GACGAACGCUGGCGGCGUGCUUAACACAUGCAAGUCGAACGAAGAGCGAUGGAAGCUUGCUUCUAUCAAUCUUAGUGGCGAACGGGUGAGUAACGCGUAAUCAACCUGCCCUUCAGAGGGGGACAACAGUUGGAAACGACUGCUAAUACCGCAUACGAUCUAAUCUCGGCAUCGAGGAAAGAUGAAAGGUGGCCUCUAUUUAUAAGCUAUCACUGAAGGAGGGGAUUGCGUCUGAUUAGCUAGUUGGAGGGGUAACGGCCCACCAAGGCGAUGAUCAGUAGCCGGUCUGAGAGGAUGAACGGCCACAUUGGGACUGAGACACGGCCCAGACUCCUACGGGAGGCAGCAGUGGGGAAUCUUCCGCAAUGGACGAAAGUCUGACGGAGCAACGCCGCGUGAGUGAUGACGGCCUUCGGGUUGUAAAGCUCUGUUAAUCGGGACGAAAGGCCUUCUUGCGAA